CCCUCGGUCGUCUAGUUGGUUUAUGGCGUCGGACUGUAAUAGUACUAUCAGUUUCAUCCGAAUGUCGCGCGUAAGUGCAACUCCAACAAGAAUUUCUCUCAGACAGCUGCUAACAGUUGUAACAGGUUCGACUCGCGCCUGAGGGA